rnacentral:rRNA from 1 species
GACGAACGCUGGCGGCAUGCCUAAUACAUGCAAGUCGAGCGAACAGAUGAAGUGCUUGCACUUCUGACGUUAGCGGCGAACGGGUGAGUAACACGUAAGGAAUCUACCUAUAAGCGGGGGAUAACAUUCGGAAACGGGUGCUAAUACCGCAUAAUAUCUUCUUCCGCAUGGAAGAAGAUUGAAAGACGGCUCUGCUGUCACAUAUAGAUGACCUUGCGGUGCAUUAGUUAGUUGGUGGGGUAACGGCCUACCAAGACGAUGAUGCAUAGCCGACCUGAGAGGGUGAUCGGCCACAUUGGGACUGAGACACGGCCCAAACUCCUACGGGAGGCAGCAGUAGGGAAUCUUCCGCAAUGGGCGAAAGCCUGACGGAGCAAUGCCGCGUGAGUGAAGAAGGCCUUCGGGUCGUAAAACUCUGUUAUAAGAGAAGAACAAAUUGUAGAGUAACUGCUACAGUCUUGACGGUAUCUUACCAGAAAGUCACGGCUAACUACGUGCCAGCCGCCGCCGUAA